GGCGGCGUGCUUAACACAUGCAAGUCGAGCGGUAAGGCCCUUCGGGGUACACGAGCGGCGAACGGGUGAGUAACACGUGAGCAACCUGCCCCUGACUCUGGGAUAAGCGGUGGAAACGCCGUCUAAUAUCCGGAUACGACCUUCCGCCUCAUGGUGGAAGGUGGAAAGUUUUUUCGGUCAGGGAUGGGCUCGCGGCCUAACAGCUUGUUGGUGGGGUAGCGGCCUACCAAGGCGAUUACGGGUAGACGGCCUGAGAGGGCGACCGGCCAAACUGGGACUGAGACACGGCCCAGACUCCUGCGGGAGGCAGCAGUGGGGAAUAUUGCGCAAUGGGCGAAAGCCUGACGCAGCGACGCCGCGUGGGGGAUGACGGCCUUCGGGUUGUAAACCUCUUUUACCACCAACGCAGGCUCCGGGUUCUCUCGGGGUUGACGGUAGGUGGGGAAUAAGGACCGGCUAACUACGUGCCAGCAGCCGCGGUAAUACGUAGGGUCCGAGCGUUGUCCGGAAUUAUUGGGCGUAAAGAGCUCGUAGGCGGCGUGUCGCGUCUGCUGUGAAAGACCGGGGCUUAACUCCGGUUCUGCAGUGGAUACGGGCAUGCUAGAGGUAGGUAGGGGAGACUGGAAUUCCUGGUGUAGCGGUGAAAUGCGCAGAUAUCAGGAGGAACACCGGUGGCGAAGGCGGGUCUCUGGGCCUUACCUGACGCUGAGGAGCGAAAGCAUGGGGAGCGAACAGGAUUAGAUACCCUGGUAGUCCAUGCCGUAAACGUUGGGCGCUAGGUGUGGGGACUUUCCACGGUUUCCGCGCCGUAGCUAACGCAUUAAGCGCCCCGCCUGGGGAGUACGGCCGC
rnacentral:rRNA from 1 species